rnacentral:rRNA from 1 species
UACGGAGGGUGCAAGCGUUAAUCGGAAUUACUGGGCGUAAAGCGUCCGUAGCCGGCUUGGCAAGUCCCCUGGGAAAUCUGGCGGCUUAACCGUCAGGCGUCCAGAGGAUACUGCCAGGCUUGGGACCGGGAGAGGUGAGAGGUACCUCAGGGGUAGGGGUGAAAUCUUGUGAUCCCUGAGGGACCACCAGUGGCGAAGGCGUCUCACUAGACCGGGUCCGACGGUCAGGGACGAAAGCUGGGGGCACGAACCGG